AAUAAAAAAAAUUGAGGGAUACACAUUCAGACUUUAAUGGCAACCAACUAUCCCAAUGUUCAAAUAAGGUUCAAAUGUCCGUGUCAAAUCAUAAAAUACUGUCAACAUGCACAAAAUAUUUAAAUAAUUAAUGUUUGUCAUCACUGGGCUGCUGUUGAUAGGUCUAUAAGUUACUCUAUAGGCUUACAUUCAUCCUAGUGUUGUAAUUUGUUUGUUUUGUUAUUUUCUUUCUUUCUUCAGGUUAUGACAGACUUCACGGGUUGGACUUCUGUCCAAGUUUGCCAGUGGUUGAAAGAUAUUGACUUGGGGGAAUUCUGUGAAAGGAUGGCGAUGAUAAAAAUCUACCAGAGAAAUUUUGUGUCUAACCACAGCACGGAGGACAUUAUCUCUGAGUUUCCAUGUUUCAGACUGGCCAAAAUGCUCCUUUGGGAUCUGAAAGACCGUACCAACGUUGAUGUGGACCCAACAGAUUCUCUCUCAGCUCUCGGUAAUGGCAUCUAAAGUCCUUCAAGUUUCACAGAGUCCCCUGAUGGAGAAGUUCAGGCAUGUGGUUGAUGACUGUGAAGAUGGCAGACUGAAAAAAGGACUACAGUUGGAAGCAGCUAUUCUGCUCUUUGCCUGCACUGUUUAAGGAGGACCCGGGGUUGCUGUUUGAAGUUGAGGUUCAUUACUGAGGAGAGUGAGGACAUCUCAAUGGCACUGGGCC